rnacentral:rRNA from 1 species
GACCCGAAACCCGGUGAUCUAGCCAUGGGCAGGUUGAAGGUUGGGUAACACUAACUGGAGGACCGAACCGACUAAUGUUGAAAAAUUAGCGGAUGACCUGUGGCUGGGGGUGAAAGGCCAAUCAAACCGGGAGAUAGCUGGUUCUCCCCGAAAGCUAUUUAGGUAGCGCCUCGUGAAUUCAUCUCCGGGGGUAGAGCACUGUUUCGGCUAGGGGGCCAUCCCGGCUUACCAACCCGAUGCAAACUGCGAAUACCGGAGAAUGUUAUCACGGGAGACACACGGCGGGUGCUAACGUCCGUCGUGAAGAGGGAAACAACCCAGACCGCCAGCUAAGGUCCCAAAGUCAUGGUUAAGUGGGAAACGAUGUGGGAAGGCCCAGACAGCCAGGAUGUUGGCUUAGAAGCAGCCAUCAUUUAAAGAAAGCGUAAUAGCUCACUGGUCGAGUCGGCCUGCGCGGAAGAUGUAACGGGGCUAAACCAUGCACCGAAGCUGCGGCAGCGACACUGUGUGUUGUUGGGUA